UACGUAGGGUGCAAGCGUUGUCCGGAAUUAUUGGGCGUAAAGAGCUCGUAGGCGGUCUGUCGCGUCUGCUGUGAAAACUCAGGGCUUAACCCUGAGCUUGCAGUGGGUACGGGCAGACUAGAGUGCGGUAGGGGAGACUGGAAUUCCUGGUGUAGCGGUGAAAUGCGUAGAUAUCGGGAGGAACACCAGUGGCGAAGGCGACUACCUGGCCUGUUCUUGACGCUGAGGCGGCGAAAGCUAGGGGAGCAACGGG
rnacentral:rRNA from 1 species